GCUUGUCUCAAAGAUUAAGCCAUGCAUGUCUAAGUAUAGUACCUUAUACUGCGAAACUGCGAAUGGCUCAUUAAAUCAGUUAUAAUUCAUUUGAUGGUACUUACUACUCGGAUAACCGUAGUAAUUCUAGAGCUAAUACAUGCGUAAAGCCCCGACUUCUGGAAGGGGCGUAUUUAUUAGAUACAACCAGCCCUUCGGGUUUUUGGUGAAUCAUAAUAACUGAACGAACCGCAUGCGCGAGCGGCGGUGGUUCAUUCAAGUUUCUGCCCUAUCAGCUUUCGAUGGUAGGGUAUUGGCCUACCAUGGCGUUAACGGGUAACGGAGAAUUAGGGUUCGAUUCCGGAGAGGGAGCCUGAGAGAUGGCUACCACAUCCAAGGAAGGCAGCAGG
rnacentral:rRNA from 1 species